UACGGAGGGGGCAAGCGUUACUCGGAAUUACUGGGCGUAAAGCGUGCGCAGGCGGUGAUGUAAGACAGAUGUGAAAUCCCCGGGCUCAACCUGGGACCUGCAUUUGUGACUGCAUCGCUAGAGUACGGUAGAGGGGGAUGGAAUUCCGCGUGUAGCAGUGAAAUGCGUAGAUAUGCGGAGGAACACCGAUGGCGAAGGCAAUCCCCUGGACCUGUACUGACGCUCAUGCACGAAAGCGUGGGGAGCAAACAGG
rnacentral:rRNA from 1 species